rnacentral:tRNA from 1 species
GCAGCUUUAGCUCAUCUGGGAGAGCGUCAGACUGAAGUAUUUCAAAAGCCUGAAAUCUGGAGGUACUGUGUUCGAGCCACAGAAGCUGCA